AGCAGACAGGGCAGAGAGGACCACCUAGGCAGAUUCAGAGACCUGGGCAGAGUUCAGUAGUAAGGUCUGGACAGCAGACUACCUCAGUAUCCAGUAUAGGAGGACCAGGCAGAGGGUUGCCACCAGUAUGUGAGCAUUGUGGCAGGAGACAUGGUGGAGUAUGUAGGAGAUUGACUGGGGCUUGCUACUUAUGUGGAAGCUCAGACCACUUUAUGAGGGAUUGUCCUAGAGGCCAGUCAGUGCAGCCUAUACAGACAGAGAGAUCUUUGCCGACAGGGUCUAGAGGCAGAGGUAGAGGUAGAGGUGAAUCUAGCAGUGCUCAGAGUC
rnacentral:lncRNA from 1 species